CACUAUAUCUGUCAGGAAAGGGUUUCCCCGUGUGACUGUAGCCCAGGCAGCGUCGAUAAAGCUUACAAAGGAGAGUGGUGGAAGAUGAGGAGCCAGGAAUUAAAUUCUCUGGAAGCAUGUGAGAAGCCAUGAGAGGACUGCACCGUCUUUGUGCUCCUUCUACACACUUUGUGGGCACGUCUUGAGAGCGCAAGGCGAGUUAAGAUGCAGCUGUUCGAGGGAGUCUCCGUCAGCUGAGCUGUUUGAAGAAGAAUAAAGGGCACGCCCCAAACGGAAGCGCCUUCAGGACACUUCCCAGCGUCAACUUGAAAAAAAACGCGCAAGGGACGACCAAGCACGGAGUGCCACUUUCCUGAUCUUCACCCUGAAUUCCUUUCAGGAUGCACUGUAGGUCAGCGACUGCAGUGGCCAGUGAUUCAGUCCUUGCAGAAUUGGAUGGUGGGCAACGUCCUUCAUUUUACACCAGGCUCCUAUGCCAGCUGCUGCUGAAGGGCUAAAGAAGAAAAAUCGCACAAUCAUAUUAAUAGAUGCAGGAAAAACAUUUGACAAAAUCCGACACCCAUUCAUGAUGACAACUCUAAGGAAACUAGGAAUGGGGGGAAAGUUCUCAACUUGAUAAAGAACAUCUACAACAAAUCUACAGCUAACAAUGUACUUAAUGAUAAGAAAGUAUUUAGAAGCUUUCCUACUAAAAUCAGGCACAAGGCAAGGCUAUCCCCCCUCACCACUCCCUCUCAGUAUCAUACUGGAAGUCCUAGCUAACACAGUAAGACAAGAAUAGAAAAUAAAAGAUACACUGAUUGGCAAGGAAGAAAUAAAGCUGUCUUUGUUCACAGAUGACAUGACUGUCUAAGAAUCCACAAAAAACUUGUGGAACUAAUAAACGACUAUAGCAAGGUUGAAGGAUACAAGGUGGUAUACAAAAGUCAGUUGCUUUCCUAUAUACCAGCAAUGAACAAGUGGAACUUGAAAUUAAAAACAAUACAAUUUACAUUAGCAUGGGAAAAAUGAAAUACUUAGAUAUAAAUUUAACAAAAUAUGUACCAGAUCUAUGAAGAAAAACUGCAAAACUGAUGAAAGAAACCAAACAAGAACAAAAUAAAUGGAGAGAUAGUCCAGAUCAUGGAUAGGAAGACUUAUUUAUUUAUUUGGAUGUGCCGGGUCUUUAGUAGCUUCACACAGGAUCUUUGUUGUGGUGUGCAGGAUCUAGUUCCCUAACCAGGGAUUGAACCUAGGCCCCCUGCGUUGGGAGCACGGACUGCCAGGGAAGUCCCUGGUUAGGAAGACUUGAUAUUGUCAAGAUGUCAUUUCUCCCCAUCUUGAUCUGUAGAUUCAACCCAAUUCCAAUCAAAAUCCCAGCAAGAUAUUUUUGUGGUUAUUGACAAACUGACUCUAAAGUUUGUACGGAGAGGCAAAAGACCCAGAUUAGUCAACUCAAUAUUGAAGGAAAAGAGGAAAGUUGGAGGACUGCCACCCCCCAACCUCAAGACUUACUAUAAAGCUAUAAUAAUCAAGACAGUGUGGUAUUGGCAAAAGAAUAGACACAUCAGUGAAACAGAAUAGAGAGCCCAGGCAUAGACCCACAUAAAUAAAGUCAAUGAUCUUUGACAACAUAGCAAAGAAAAUACAAUGGAGAAAAUACAGUCUUUUCAAAAAUGGUACUGUAACAACCGGACAUUCACAUGCAGAAAAAUGAAUCUAGACACAGACCUCACAAAAAUUAAGUCAUAAUGGAUCAUAGACCUGAAUGUAAAAUGCAAAACUAUAAAACUCCUAGAAGAUAACAUAGGAGAAAAUCUAGAUGACCUUUGGUAUGGUGAUGACUCUUAAAAUACAAUACCAAAGGCAUGAUCCAUAAAAGGAAUAAUUGAUAAGCUGGACUUCAUUAAUAUAAAACAACAUUUCUAUUCUGUGAAAGACACUGUCAAGAGAAUAGGGGAAGCCACAGAUUUGGAUAAAAUAUUAACAAAGCAUAUCUGAUCAAGGGCCAUUUUCAAAAUAUACAAAUAACAAUAAGAAAACAAAAAACCCAAUUAAAAAUGGGGUGAAAGGUCUGAACAUAUUGCUCAUUAAAGAAGCAUAUGGCAGCUAAGCAUAUGAAAAGGUAUUCAACAUCAUGUGUCAUUUGGGAAUUGCAAAUUAAAACAAUAAGGUACUACUACACACCUGUUAGAAUGGCCAAAAUCCAAAACACUGACAUCACCAAAUGCAACAGGUAUUCUUAUUCAUUGUUGGCGGGAAUGCGUAAUGAUACAGCCACUGUGGAAGACAGUUUGGUGAUUUCUUACAAAACUAAACAUAUUCUUACCAUGUGAUCUAGCAAUCCUGUUCCGUGGUAUUUACCCAAAAGUUGAAAACUCAUGUCCACACAAGUUUUAUAGCAGCUUUACUCAUAAUUGCCAAAACUUGGAAGCAACUAAGAUAUCCUUCAGUAGGUGAAUGGAUAAACUGUGGUUCAGCUAGACCAUGUAAUAUUAUUGAGCACUAAUAAGGAAUGAGCUAUUAAACCCUGAAAAGACAUGGAGGAAUCUUAGAUGCAUAUUACUAAGUGAAAGAAGCCAAUUCGAAAAGGCUACAUACUGUGUGAUUCCAACUAUACAUUUAACAUUCUGGAAAAGAAACCUAUGGAGACAGUAGAAAAAUCAGUGAUUGCCAGGGGUUAGUGGGGAGGGAGGGCUGAAUAGGUGGAACAGAGAACAUUUUUAAGGCAAUGAAACUAUUCUGUUAUGAUACUACAUGGUAGAUAUAUAUCAUUAUACAUUUGCCGAAACCUGUGGAAUGAACAACACCAAGAGUGAACCUUAACAUAGGAGUUUGGGUGAUAAUGGUGUGUCAAAGUAGUUCAUCAGUGUAGCAAAUGUACCAGUAUUGUGGGGAACGUUGAUAGUGGGAGAGGUUGUGUGUGUGCGGUAGGGAGGAGGAGGUACUCUGUAUCUGUGGGAACUCUGUAUUUCUACUCAGUUUUGCUGUGAACCUAAAACUGUUCUAAAAAAUAAAGUGUAUUAAAAAAUAACAGGGCUUCCCUGGUGGCGCAGUGGUUGAGAGUCCACCUGCCGAUGGAGGGGACACAGGUUCGUGCCCCGGUCUGGGAAGAUCCCACAUGCUGCGGAGCGGCUGGGCCCGUGAGCCGUGGCUGCUGAGCCUGCGUGUCCGGAGCCUGUGCUCCGCAACGGGAGAGGCCACAGCAGUGAGAGGCCCGUGUACCGCAAAAAAAAAAAAACAACAAAAAUAAUAGACAGGAAUUACAAGUAGAUGUUUAAGUCUCAUCUACUUUCUAUGAGAAGACAAAAUUGAUACAAGGUGAAAUCAGAGGCCCUCAGUCUCAUUAGAGAAUUUGCUAGUGUGGACUAAAUUAGAAAUAGCCUGAGCAGGUAGGAGAUACAGGUGAUCUUUCCAGAUACAGAUCACAAAAUGGGUAUAGCAGAAAAAUAUAGAAGUAUUGAGGAAUCUCAACCUCCUGGCAGCAUUUGGAAGCAGGCCCUUUGUUAAAUUCUUGACCUACUGUGCUCUCCAUUUCAUUGAAUAGAAGAGAGGAAACAAUGAAUGAUACUGUUAACUUGUACUUAAUUCUAACUCUUAAGAUAAUUCAGCUUAUUUUUAAAUUUUAUUUUAUUUUUAUUUCUGAGAUAUGCAUUUUAAAGUAAUAACUAGAAUUAUGACUUAUACUAUUAUACCAGAACAUGUAAGAUUUUUAGGAAUUUCAUCUAAUGUCUGAAACAUUUAUAUUUAAAUUUAUUUUUAAUUCAGCUCAUUUUGAACUGAAGGGCUUAUUAGGUGAAAAUGACCUGUCAUUUUAGACUUUGUAACAUGCAAGUAAGUGUACACUAGAGAUAGUCAAACAGACUUCAAAAAGUUGAAGCAUAUUUCAUAGAGCUCACAAGAAAUAAAGAUAAGUAUUGAAUGCAUUGAAGGAAGAGUUCAUGAAGCCAUAAAUGUCUGCUACAUUUUGAGGGGAACUUUUUUUGUUUUUUGUUUUACCAGCUUCAGUUGACAUUGCUUGGGUACAUACUCCAUUAGAGAGGUAGAGAUAGCCCUUGCUAUGGCCCCUCUGAAUUGGAACAGGAAACUGAACUGCCACAGAUGGGUUAAACACAGGGGAGCCAGAAGUGGUUGGUACUAAUUCUAUUAAAUACUGAGGCUCGAAAUCUACCCAUCAAAUCCUUUCUCUUGGGAAAGCACACAUACACAUAGCAUACAAAGUAGAUGGACACCUAGUUUGCAGCUGCAAAUCUGAAUUGUGUUGUGCAGUUUUUCCUGUUAUUUUUCAAGACGAACACAUAUCACAGAAUUAGGGGGUCAGAGACUCCUUGGGUGGUGCUACGAUCCCAAAGAAGUAAAUUUUCCUUAUGUUUUUUUGUAGGUAAUGUAUUAUAAGUUAUCCAUUAGUGUAAGUAACCUGAACAUAUCUUUUCCUGAUUGGAACUGUGGAGACUCUGGAAAACCUGACAGGCUGGAGAAGUACAGGCAUACCUCAUUUUAUUGUGCUUCACUUUAUUGCAUUUCACAGAUACUGAAUUUUUAAAAAUUGAAGGUUUGUGGCAACCUUGUGCUGUCAGUUGAUGGUUAGCAUUUUUUAGUGAUAAAGUUAGGUAUGUACUUUUUUAAAGACAUAAUGCUAUUGUACACUUAAUAGACUACAGUGUAGUAUAAACAUAACUUUUAUAUGCACUGGGAAACCAAAAAAAAAAAAAAAAAAACCUCAUGUGACUCACUUUAUUGCCACAUUCACUUUAUUGCAGUGGUCUGGAACCAAACCUGCAAUGUCUCUGAGGUAUGCCUGUACAAGGGAUAGUUUCAUGAUUAAAUGUAACAGGAAGUUAAAAUGGAACUUUUCAUUUUGUCUCAGUUUUGGCUAAAAACUCCAAGGCCAAGCAAUAUAGGUGCCAAAAUUACCCUCACAUUCUAAAGCAAGGUACUAGAGUACCUUAUGUAGGACAUGCUAAGAGACAUCUUCUGUCAGCAUUAGCUCAUCUCCUAUCUCUCAGCUAUAUAAGGGAGGGUAGAGAAUCCAUGGGGAAGGGCAGAAAUGGUUUGGAGGGAGAAUUUCUUUGGAGAGAGUUGUCAGUGUGCUGUAUAUGCCCCUCCUACUUCCUGGUAAGUAUGUUGGGAGCGCUUCCCCCUCAUCUGAAGCCAAGAGAAGAAAAACACUCAAAAAGCUUGAAGUAUUUUCUCUGAAACGUGGAAGAUGCAAGGUCUGUUACCUGAAAUAAAUUUAAGGCUGGUGGCAGAAUGAAGUAGAGCAGAGUUUAGUGGGGACAAGGACACAAGUGUGUUUCCCAUGGACCAAAGGUGGAAACUGCAAAGGGAUACAAUUGUAGAUUAUUUUAAAAGGAGCUUCAUCACAGAAAUCCAUCUGGAGAGGUAAGGUGACCCUUGUGGAAGCAAGGGGUUGAAGGCAGCGUCUUAGUUGUCCAGUUGUAGAAAGAAUCAUCCCUAUAAAGGAGUUGCAGGUAGGAGAUCCCUACUGGGUCAGAGGAUUCUUUGUGAAACCCACAGAAAUUCCCCACUCAAGAAGGAAUUCUGUAUCUAAAAGAUGCUGCACCCAAAGGACACCAAUAUCAGAUUGCAACAGUAUUGGUUGUAUAAA